UUUUCAGAAUCUUCAAGAGGUGAUUCCGUCGGUGAGGAUGGAACGAAAAAUGUCGAAAAUCGAGACUCUGACGCUGGCCAGAAAUUACAUCAUGGCACUCACAAACGUCAUAUGCGAGAUCAAAGGCGGCGACAAACCAUUCUCAUUCUUGGACCAGUUCGCGCCUACUUCAGAGCAACAAGUGGAGGAGGUGAUGCGCAACUUCCGUCUUGGAGGAGCCUCCUCUUCUCAGACGGGCCGCCGGCGAGACCAGCAGUUAUAGAAACCGUCCUGGCCCCGGCCCCCGGCCCGCCUCUGGCCCCGGUCCCGGCCUUGCCCACGGCCGGAGCGGAGAAGACGGUCAAUAGGAGAAAUUGUCGUCACCACUGGUGACCACAGUCCUUCGCAGGAGAGCCCCACGGUGAAGCCAAGUCUCUUCGUCCCAGAAAGCUGUGGAGUAGAUAUAAUUAUGUGAGAUGUCAGCCACGUGGGGGAAGUCUGUUGGAAAGCAUCGACAGGCAAGCGUGCCCCUCGUGGUUAGCAGCUGAUGAGGAUGACACGUGCCACCUAAGAACUACAUGUGACAUUCGAGAUGAAGGAAUAAUGCGAAGUGCAGUGGAUAAUGAUGCUUCGAAAGAAACUCAAAGGGAGGGUUGUGGAUGUAAAUAGUUUUAAAUAUGUGCGUUUUCGUUUGUCGACAACAUGAAUGCCUUGAUAUGUGCCGAUGAACUAGAGCUGACGAGCUCUGAAGUCUUGAAGAACUGACUUUAGAUCUUCAAGGGCUUCAAGACAUGGACAGAAAUUCGGCUCAAUUACUGGUGAUGCGCUCGAUGAAAGUGUUCCGGGGUUGUGGGGUACUGGGUUACCGGGUGACCUCAUAAGGGUGACCGAGUGACCUCCUAGGGGUGACCGAUUGACCUAGGGGUGAGGGGUGACCGCUGUGUGGUGAAGGUGACCAUAUGUGACCGAGUGAAAUGUGACAGAAUAUGUGGGGUUUCAGUUUGACUGAAUGCGGAGGAAAUAGUGCAAUUUGGUUCUUGUCAGUGACGUGCAGGAGGAAUUUUCUUACUGCUGGCUUUCUAUGCGCAAUAUUUUGUGAACUUACACCCAUUCUAAACGUAUUCAUCUCUGCGAAUUUGUUGCUUUUACCGGCUAUGUCUCCAUUAUGAUGCAUCACUUUAAAUCAAACUUCAGCAUUUGUCUAACCAAUGUCAACUAAAAAUUUACCUUUCGCCUAUCACAUCAAACGCUCACCUAUGAGCUACCUAUGUAUGCGUUGGAAGCCAAUUGCUGAUGACAGAUGCGUCUAUAGGAGCUGAGAGAUUGUAUGCAGUGCCACGAUUUGUCCCAAUGUGCAAUGGUAAAGUGGCUUUAAGCCGAUCAAUGGCGGUAGCUGUCCCACGAUGAUCACAGAAACAACGUGAUCAGUGAGAAAUUAUAUAAUGAUAGGCUUAGAUACCUUCUUCAUAUUUCGCCUCACUUUUUCAUCGUAGCUGACAAAAAAGGGGACGGGUUAUUCAUAUCAAUUCAUCAGACAAUUUUACCAGUGUUAUUCAUUUUGAUGCACCACUAACCUUCGAUUGCUCUCUUUUAUAAACGUGUCUAUCCGAACACUUUCGCUGAUUGGACCAUGACAUUUUUUUGGACCAUGAUUUAUUGGAAUUUCAAUUACGAUAAAACUGAAAUUUAAAAACACAUACGACGUGGCUCCUCACCGAUUUCCUACGACGUCUUCCAGGAUGUUCGCCAUUGUUGUCCGUCUCCCUGAACCGACGUAGUUUGACUGAAUUGAAUCGUAAGGCUUGCCGAAUUACCAAUUCGAUUGUAUGAAAACUUGUUGUGUUUUGUCUGAGUAGCAGAAAACUCCCUGUAAUGAUACCAGUGCAAAGUCUAUGGUUCAAAUGUCUGUCUUCCACAACGUUCUCUGUGCGUGGUUUCGGGUUGCACUGUAAAUGGUAAAUUAUUUUGUCGAUGAAAAGAGAACGCGAGGAAUGACAGAACGUCUUGUAUUACUGUGAAAGUGGCUACCUUUUUGUGUAAGUCUGCAUACAUUGCUGUUUCCAAUGAUGUUCUCUGUACGAAAUUCAUAAUAAUGGAAAUAUUUUGAGCUAUCACAUCACUACGUACAGCAUAAUUUGCUCGUUUUCUCGCCGUAGGCAUUUAAAUGAGUGUGUGUGUGUGUGUGCCCGUUUAAAUGAGUGUAUUCCCCCGGAGACUGGAUACCUUAUGUGGUCGUUUUACCGCUUUUUUAGACACUUGCUGCCUUAUAGAAAUCUGCAUUUGUGAUUUGAAUAAUCGAGUCUUUCACGAUUGUUCAUCUACUAGCACCCAGAGCUCCAACUGAUAUUCCACAGAGAAUAGAGAUAGCGAUAUAUGAAGAAAUAUCCCAAGUAGAGUUGCAAAGUUUCCCCCAAAGGCUGCUACCGGCACCGCCCCGCCCCACAAUUUUUUUUUUGGGAUACCGGCAUGCUACCACGCCCAAAGCAAAAACACCACCAAAUUACCGGCAUACUAAAAAACCUGCAUUGUUGAUUCCAGUUUACCCCUACAAGAGAUGCCACAUUUUCCUCUUAGUGUCCAAAGUUUGAAUCAUAUGCUAAUAAUUUUUUUUUUGUGCAAAACCAAAAAUACCGGCAUGCUACCGGCAAGACAUGCCAGAUACCACAAAAAACCUGCGGUAGUGAAAAAUUACCGGCAUGCCGGUAAUGUGGUAGGGAAACUUUGCAACUCUAAUCCCAAGCAUGAGACAAAUUUUCUCUGUGCGAUGGCUCAACGUUUCAAAUGAAGUGAAUAACGAAGUAUGUCAUUUGGAGCUUGUCAUGUAUGAAUAUGUUGAGCUAUAAUGUGGAUAUACACAACUGACGUGAAAAUCCACACCGAAUUCGAACUGGCCAAUGAAUCGAGAAGAGCAUGUUUGCUUGCUGAAUGCUGAUCUUUUUGGUGAAAGUGUGUGUGAGUUUAAAGUUUGUGUCACAGAGUAUAUAGCUUUUGAUUAUUUAUUCCUUUAUGACCUAUUGUCGAAUGUGGGCUUGGGGAAGGGGUGCCCCGGAUUUGGCCAUUUUAUGACUGUAUUUUUGUAGAUAAGUGCUAAAUAUAUGGGAAACAAA